rnacentral:rRNA from 1 species
CCUACGGGAGGCAGCAGUAGGGAAUAUUGCUCAAUGGGGGAAACCCUGAAGCAGCAACGCCGCGUGGAGGCUGAAGGUUUUCGGAUUGUAAACUCCUUUUGUUAGAGAAGAUAAUGACGGUAUCUAACGAAUAAGCACCGGCUAACUCCGUGCCAGCAGCCGCGGUAAUACGGAGGGUGCAAGCGUUACUCGGAAUCACUGGGCGUAAAGAGCGCGUAGGCGGGAUAGCAAGUCAGAUGUGAAAUCCUAUGGGUUAACCAUAGAACUUCAUUUGAAACUGUUAUUCUAGAGUAUGGGAGAGGUAGGUGGAAUGCUUGGUGUAGGGGUAAAAUCCGUAGAGAUCAAGAGGAAUACUCAUUGCGAAGGCGACCUGCUAGAACAUAACUGACGCUGAUGCGCGAAAGCGUGGGGAGCAAACAGGAUUAGAUACCCUUGUAGUC